rnacentral:pre_miRNA from 1 species
AAAUGCUAGACUUACCACAUUUUUAUACCAUAUUGUGUAUCACCUCUCUAAUAGAGGUGGGCUCCAUCCUUAUUAAAGAGGUGGUAGGUAGUACACAAUGUGAUAUAAAAAUGUGGUAAGCCUAGCACUA